GUUUAUUUUGGGCGUGUUUGCUGUACAAUUGGACUUGAUGAAAUGUUUAGAGGUGAAGUAGGCAUGACUUUGAAUAGAUAA
ensembl:miRNA